CCUCGGGACCCGCCGUGCCGGGGCGCCCGGCCGGGAGGCUCUGGAGGGGUCCGGGCGCGUCCCCCUCAGGCCGUGCUCCCGCGCGGUCUCCGCGGCCCCCGGGAGAAUCCUCUGGGUCUGGAGUCGGGCAGCUGUGGUCCUGUGUGUAUACUGGAACAAAUGUGAAUUUCCUCCUCAAUAGAGGCAGGCUAAUUGCAUCUAAGGGGAAGAGACUCUGCCCAAGAAGAGGAUGCUGUUGGUCUUAUUGUGCUUGAUGAAGAACAGGAAAGGGUGAUCGCAAUGAAAAGGAUAGAUUGGUGCUGAUUUGGCAAUAACUUCUACGUCUGUGGAGGCUGCAGCCUCCGUGCCCUCUUCGGUGACCUCCACAAAGGACUUGUGCCUGACUUUAGACACCACAAGAUCCUGCCUCCCUGUCAUGCCUGAGAAGUUGGCCCUCUUUGUGUUGAAUGCAUCCACCAUUCCCAGGGCUUUCAGCGUGGCCUUGAGCUCAUAACUCUCUUCUACUUUGAACCGGGUUCUUUUUUAGGCUGUAUGCAGAGAAGUACUCCGUUCUUGAACUCAGUCAGCCACCACCACCAAUCUGUGAGCAUUGCUUCAAUGAACAGCCCAUAUAAGGAUUGUACUACUAGGAAAUCAGGCAAUAGUAGAAAGAAUUGGAGACAUAAGAUUUUACCUUCUGCAGACCAUCUACUUCGUGUGGCAGCAGCAACAUCAUGCUUAGAUCUUUGCCUUUGUAUGGUAUUUCUAGGAUCUUGGCUUGCAAGUCCUCCAGUGAGGUGAAAUUAAAAACGUUGGAUUGUCUCAUCAUCUGCACAGAACUUGUUGGCCAUAUUCAGUUCAUAUGCAUCAGUGGGUUUCUUUAAUUCGGUCAGAAGCUUUUGAAAUUGGUGGUGUACAUUUUCCAUCUUUUCAACCUUCAAAUAUUAAAAAGUGGAUUUACUUAAAUAUUCUUCAAGAUCCUUAUAAUUCAGUCUCCUUCAGGAAAUUUCUUUCUGCUCUGAGUAGUGUUGGGCAUAAAAUGGAUACUCUCAGCACAGCAAACACUGAAUUUUGCCUUGAUGUGUUCAAAGAACUGAACAGUAACAACGUAGGAGAUAACAUCUUCUUUUCACCACUGAGCCUGCUCUAUGCUCUAAGUAUGGUCCUCCUUGGUGCCAGAGGAAACAGUGCAGAGCAGAUGGAAAAGGUACUUCACUUUAGUCAUAUGACACAGUCACUAAAACCAGAGUUCAAGGACUCAGCUAAGUGCAGCCAAGCUGGAAGGAUUCACUCAGAGUUUGGAGUCUUAUUCUCUCAAAUCAACCAGCCAGACUCUAACUAUACCCUCAGCAUGGCCAACAGACUCUACGGGACAAAGGCAAUGGUGUUCCAUCAGCAAUAUUUAACUUGUUCUGAGAAACUGUAUCAAGCUAUGCCGCAAACUGUUGAUUUUGAACAGUCUCCAGAAGAAACCCGGAAAACUAUUAAUGCUUGGGUUGAAAGUAAAACUAAUGGAAAAGUCACAAACCUCUUUGGAAAGGGAACAAUUGACCCUUCUUGUGUAAUGGUCCUGGUGAAUGCCAUAUAUUUCAAAGGACAAUGGCAAAAUAAGUUUCAGGAAAGAGAGACAGUUAAAAUGCCUUUUCAGCUAAAUGAGGGUAAAAGCAUAAUUGUGGAAAUGAUGUAUCAAACUGGAACAUAUAAAUUAGCCUUCAUAAAGGAGCCGCAGAUGCAAGUUCUUGAGCUGCCCUAUGUUAACAACAAACUAAGCAUGAUUAUUCUGCUUCCAGCAGGCACAGCCAGUCUAGAACAGAUAGAGAAGGAGCUGAACACGAAGACAUUUAACGAGUGGACCAGCUCUGCUAACAUGGUGGAAAGGGAAGUUGAAGUCCACAUUCCCAGAUUCAAACUUGAAAUCAAGUAUGAGCUAAAGUCCCUGCUAAAUUCCCUGGGCAUGACAGAUGUCUUCAAUGAGAUCACAGCUGAUCUUUCUGGAAUAUCACCAGUUGAUGGCCUAUAUUUAUCAAAGGUCAUCCACCAGUCAUAUGUGGAUGUCAAUGAAGAGGGCACAGAGGCGGCAGCAGCCACUGGGGACAGCUUUGUUGUGAAAAGACUCCCCAUCCGGGCUCGGUUCCUGGCGAACCACCCCUUCCUUUUCUUCAUAAGACUCAGCCAUACCAACACGAUCCUCUUCUGUGGCAAGCUUGCCUCUCCCUUAAACAAGCAGGCUUGAGCAAGGCUCAGAGUCACAGAGGAGGGGCAGGGACAAACCCAUGACUAACAGCAGUUCAUCCCUCACACACCUCUGUACCUCACUCUGCUCAUCUGCAAAAUGGGGCUAGGCUCUCUCUCAACUUAGACCUUGAAUUGGUGGACCUUAAGAUUAUAGAAAUCAUGGAAGAAGAAAUUUUCAGGAGCAUAAUGGAAUGGCAGGCAUGAAGAUUUAGUGGAGACCAUCUUGGGUGGGGGAAUCCCCACUCAGAUUUCUGCAUUGAGGAUUCUUGCUCUUCCUUGUGCUGUCCUUGAAGUCCUGGAUUAAUGGCGUGACUAUAAUCCUGCAGCAUUCGUCAACAUCAGAAUGUCAAAUUGUUGGAAUCUGUCAUUCUGGGGAUUUUCUGCCCAAGAAAGAAUAAAAAGAUCUGGCAAGAGAGCACAGACUAUGCCAACUCCAACCAGACCUCCGUGAUUCACAAAUCCUAUCCUGGAGAGAUGAUUUCCCUGUGAGUGGGACGGUUCUGCUAUCAUCCAGAAUUGCCAGAACAAUCGAUCCCCAGGAGCUUGACUUGGUGAAUGUUGGGAACUCAAGACAAUGCCAAUCAACAUUUAGCUUGGAGGCCGGCCUGAAUGAAUUCUACCUUUAUAACUGGUUUCUCCAUGGAAUUUGGUCUGUGGCCACAGAGCAAACAGCAAGACGAGGGACACAAGGUAGAGAAGAGUGAGUGGAAAUCAUGUCAUCUGAUCUCUACACGGGAAACGUGAGAAGCUGAUGAUACUUUGCAAGGACAGGCAAAAGAGCCAAGAAUACCCAUGACUCCUUUAAGAACUGCUUCUCUAGGAUGGACGUGUCAGAGCGCUUCCUGUUGCUUCUCCGUGUAACCACGUCCACAACAUCCAUUCUUCCAUCCGACCAACGUGUGCUGAGCCCCUGGGGGGUGCUGGCCCAGGCCCCGCGGACUUUGAACCCAGGUCGCCCUCCCUCCCCGGCGGCUUCCUUCUGAUGCCCACGAUCUCCUCUCUGGGUCAGCCCGGAACGUGAUGACCGCAGGCUGAACCAUGUCAGGGUGCACAGCGAUAUCGCGCUCCACUGAUGCUCAACUGUGCGGAG